UCAAAAUAUGUCAAGAUGGCGACAACUGGCGAAGUCCAGAAAAGUUUGUGGCACGCAUUCAAUGCUUUAGAUGCCCAGCAAUCAGGGGAUGUACAAAAAUCACGUCUAAAGGUGUUAACGAACAAUAUCGGCCGGGUGUUUGAUGUGGAGAAGGCCGAGGAGCUGCUGGACAACAUCGAAUACUCAACAUCGCGGCAGUCCUUGACCUUCACCAAGUUCUAUGAGGUCAUCGAAAACGACUUACUGUUUCAACUGAACGGCAACCUCAGCAGCAGCUCCACAUCGCACAUCUUGGAACAAAUAGACAAUAUCUGCUGGAUGCUAUGCGAAACAAAAUACGUGAAAAAGAACAACAAUGACACUGGACAGGUGCAGAAGUUGUACGACAAGGAAAUAUUCAAGCUGGUCAAAGUGUUUAAUUUCUGUGUGGAAGUGAGCGAGGAUGACCGUAAAGUUAUUUUUCCACUGACAAUUGACGUAGAGGAGGCUCAGCAUGUGUGCUGUAUUAUGUCCCGAAGCCUGGGGCUGUGUGUCGAUCGCAAGCGGGAGUUUUCCAGGAAGGGAGAUAAUCCACAGCUAGGGGAUCAGUUGGUUGGUUUUCCUGCUUUCCUUGAUGGACUAGAGGCUUGUUUUCAUGAUCUGAGUGCGAUGGACCUAUCACAGGGGAUACACGAGGUGCACGAUAUGAUUAUUGGAGAUACGCUAAAAAAGGGUCACAUGGUCAAAUUUGGCAACCGACUGACAAGUUGGAAGGAGCGCUGGUUUGUGCUGACUGCCCAGGAGUUGCGGUACUACACGGGGUGUGACGAGCGAGAACUAAAGGGGGCCAUUGAUGUCACAAAGGCCUGCAAGGUCGAGCCAUUGCCAGAUAAGAUCGGCACCAAAACCAACCGUUUCAUCCUGCACACCUCCGGUAAACAGUAUGAGUUGUCUGCCCCUGAUCUCAAGUCCAGAAAUGAAUGGAUAUCAGCAAUACAGAAGGCCAUUGACCACUCGUACGCCAGCAAGGACGAGUCCAUCCAGCGGCUGUCAUGGUGGGAAAGAAGGAAAGAGAGAGCAGCAAGGCGGAAAGAAGCAGAUGAAGAAGCCAAGAGGAGGAAGGAAGAGCAGGAGCUCCUUGUGAAGCAGCAGAAGGAGCUGGAGGAAGAAAAGGAGCGGAACAACAGAGAUAAGCUCCUUCUUGAACAACAGCUGCAGGAACUGGAGGCAGAGAGACAGGCGCGAGCUGAGAUCGAGGCUCAGCUUCGAGAGCAGGCUGUGCUCCGAGAAGCAGAACAACAACGACUCAAAGAGUUGGAGGAGAUCCGACAACAGAUGGAGAAGCUCCUGGAGGAGGAACGCCAAGCCAAGCGGGACGAGGAGAUUGUCCGCAACCUGCAAGCAAGGAUCUUGGAGGAGGAGUUUGAGAAGAGGACGGAGUUGGAGAAGCUGAAGGAGCAGCAGGAGGUGUUGCUGGAGGAGGAGCGCAGGCACCGGGCAGGCAUGGAGAAGGCCCGGGUAGAGGCCGACUCACAGCUCAUUGAGGCCAGAGAUAGGCUGAAGGAGCUGGAGCUGGAGGGGAAGCAGGCUGAGAGCCAACUGACGGAAGCAACCAGCAAGUUAAGACUUGCGGAGGAGGAGCGGGUCAAGCUGGAGGCAAGGCUGAAGGUGAAGGAAUCUAAGACCAUCGGGCUAGCCAGACCCACGUGUGUUCCUGAUCCCGAUCCCUUCACCACACACAGGGGCAAAGGUGCAUUUGUACAGGCAGACUUCCAGGCCAAGGCUGCCCACAUUGCAAACACCACCACACAGCUAUAGUGAAGAGCAUGCUUGGAGGUCAUUGGCAGAGACAUUGGCAGAGAUAUUGGAAACAUGGUUGUGGGCAUAGAGGCACCUGAGCACUGGACCAGAACAUGUUUGAUGCACUUGAUAUAUUCACGGUUGUUGAGACCCCCAAACGCUAUAGACCAAUACACAGUUGUAGUUCAGACACCAGAGCACUAUAGACCAAUACACAGGUGUAGUUGAGACAUCAGAACACUAUAGACCAAUACACAGGUGUAGUUGAGACAUCAGAACACUAUAGACCUAUACACAGGUGUAGUUGAGACAUCAGAACACUAUAGACCAAUACACAGGUCAGAACACUAUAGACCAAUACACAGGUGUAGUUGAGACAUCAGAACACUAUAGACCAAUACACAGGUCAGAACACUAUAGACCAAUACACAGGUGUAGUUGAGACAUCAGAACACUAUAGACCAAUACACAGGUCAGAACACUAUAGACCAAUACACAGGUGUAGUGAAGACAUCAGAACACUAUAGACCAAUACACAGGUGUAGUUGAGACACCAGAACACUAUAGACCAAUACACAGGUGUAGUGAAGACAUCAGAACACUAUAGACCAAUACACAGGUGUAGUGAAGACAUCAGAACACUAUAGACCAAUACACAGGUCAGAACACUAUAGACCAAUACACAGGUGUAGUUGAGACAUCAGAACACUAUAGACCAAUACACAGGUCAGAACACUAUAGACCAAUACACAGGUGUAGUGAAGACAUCAGAACACUAUAGACCAAUACACAGGUGUAGUUGAGACACCAGAACACUAUAGACCAAUACACAGGUGUAGUGAAGACAUCAGAACACUGUAGACAAAUACACAGGUGUAGUGAAGACAUCAGAACACUAUAGACCAAUACACAGCUGUAGUUGAGACAUCAGAACACUAUAGACCAAUACACAGGUGUAGUGAAGACAUCAGAACACUAUUGACCAAUACACAGGUGUACCAAGUUAAAUAUGUAUGUUGUCGAUGACUCCCAUCUGGGAAACACUGUGGUUUAUAUGUUUAUAUGACCUGUGACAUCCCCUGAGUACCUGACCAGGUAAGGUGAGGAUGCUGUUUAUAUUUAGAUGUCCUUUUAGUCUGUGGAUGCUGAGGAUACAGCAAUUGUGAUGACAUUAUAUUUUAUAUCUUUUACUGUUACUGUUUAUUAUAAAUGAUAUGGCAGUCUGCCAGGACUUCAUGUUUGGGAUAUAUAUUUAUGUAAAUAGAUUCUGUUCGGAUACUUUACCGUGAAUGACUUUGAAAAAGUGUGUGAUAUGUUAUAUUGAGUGUAUAUUAAUGAAUAUACAUUUAAGUUUUAUGUUGUAGACUUUUGUGGUUAGAUCAACAUUUUGCCCACAAUCCCGAAGAAUAGGGUCAUCACUGAAGGCACUUGUACUUAAGAUUGUUUGUAUUUUUCCAAGUGCUAGAAAUUAACGAUGGUCCGUGAUGUUCCCUCUGUGGUACAUGUAUUUUAUUCAGGAGAUUCCUCAAGUUUUAUUUUGUUAGAUGACGUUUGUGUCACGGACCCAUCAACAUUUUUAUCCUUAGUUACAAACAUUGUUUCAAAGAACAUGAUCUUUUGAGAAAGUCAAGAAAUAUUUUAUGUAAGUGUGGGAUGUUAACACAGGUUAACAUUUGGCAGGGGUUACAAUAUCUGUGAUUUCUAGAAUUGGAAAAAUAUUAUACUUGUGUGUUUUUUUCAUUUGCUGUGUUUAAAAACACUUGUCUUAGCAUAUAGCAUCUCCUUGUAUGGGACUGAUCAUUUAUUAUAGAAAGGGGUGGUCAGGUGUGAUCAGACAAAGGACUGUAUUAUAUUUUGCUGACCAUAACCUUUAACACAUCCCCACACCCCCCACACACCCAAACAUUUCCCCAAUACAUGCACCAGUUUGUUAGGCCCCUCCUCCUCUAGUAAAUGUCCAGCCCCUCAAUAAUGUUCAAAUAUAUUUUUUUAAUAUAUUUUCAUCCACCCUCAGGGGCGGUCGGGUAGCCUAGUGGUUAAAGCGUUCGCUCGUCACGCCGAAGACCCAGGUUCGAAUCCCGACAUGGGUACAAUGCGUGAAGCCCAUUUCUGGUGUCCCCCGCCGUGAUAUUGCUGGAAUAUUGCUAAAAGCGGCGUAAAACCAUACUCAUCCACCCUCAGCCCCCUGCCAAUAUUUGUGUCCCUCCUCUUCUGCUGUGGGGGCGGUCGGGUAGCCUAGUGGUUAAAGCGUUCGCUCGUCACGCCGAAGACCCGGGUUCGAAUCCCGACAUGGGUACAAUGCGUGAAGCCCAUUUCUGGUGUCCCCAGCCGUGAUAU